UACGUAGGGGGCGAGCGUUAUUCGGAAUUAUUGGGCGUAAAGCGCUCGUAGGCGGGUUCGUUAGUCCGUGAAGAAAGACCUGGGCUCAACUCAGGGAACGGCACGGAUACUACGAUUCUUGAGGCAAUCAGAGGGUGAUGGAAUUCCCGGUGUAGCGGUGAAAUGCGUAGAGAUGUGGAGGAACACCGAUGGCGAAGGCAGCCCCCUGGGCUAACACUGACGCUCAUGCACGAAAGCGUGGGGAGCAAACAGG
rnacentral:rRNA from 1 species